rnacentral:tRNA from 1 species
GCUUUGGUAGUUCAGUGGUAGAAUACUACUCUUCCAUUAUGUGAUAAGUAGUGGCCGGGGUUCGAUUCCCCGUCAAUGCA